rnacentral:rRNA from 1 species
CACAUUUGUCAUGUCACCCUACAACUCACAUCUGGCAACCCACUGAAGCUAAGCAGGUGUGAGCCUGGUCAGUACUUGGAUGGGAGACCUCCUGGGAAAGCUAAGGUUGCUGCUGGAA